rnacentral:rRNA from 1 species
UGAGGAAUAUUGGUCAAUGGGCGCAAGCCUGAACCAGCCAUGCCGCGUGAAGGAUGAAGGUUCUAUGGAUUGUAAACUUCUUUUAUUUGGGAAUAAACCUCGGGACGUGUCCCGAGCUGAAGGUACCAAACGAAUAAGCACCGGCUAACUCCGUGCCAGCAGCCGCGGUAAUACGGAGGGUGCAAGCGUUAUCCGGAAUCAUUGGGUUUAAAGGGUCCGCAGGCGGGCUUAUAAGUCAGUGGUGAAAGCC